rnacentral:lncRNA from 1 species
GGUAGGCAUCAAGGGACGGGGCUAGAGGAGUGGGGGCCGAGGGACAAGGCGGCGAUGGUGGGCAAGGGGAGAGGCAGGUUGUUAAGGAGGAAGGCAGUGGGGCCAAGGAGAUACGAAGAACCUGGGGGAAGGACAGGGCUGGGCAAGGAUGCAGUGAGGGUGGCAGGGCUGGAGGAAAGGAGGUGGCAAGGCUGGUGAAGGAAGAGAUGGAUGCAGAGUGAGGGAGCACACACACAUUUAAGAUGAUACACUUUCCCAUUUCAGCUUGGACACCAGCCCUGAAGCAGGGAAAAGACAGAUGUACUAAUUGUCAUGGAUGGCAAACUGUGCCCCCAAACUUGUACCAAGCCUCAAAGCCUUGGUUUAAUACUCCUGAAGGAGUAAUAGACCCAAUGUGACAUUUUGCAUGCAGGAACCCCUUAACAGCUACCUCCAUAUUAUGCGUGCUUCAUGAAUGGAGACACCUACGUUAUAUGAAGUUCUCUAUUGGGCUGUAAACUUCCUGAGACAGGCCUUCUGGGAAAUUACUCUCUACAUCCCAGGACUGCAAUGUCCAGUGCAGACCCGUGCAUUUAGAUGUUUCCAAAAUAGCAGUUGUUUCCGCGGCAUUAUGUUCUGCUGGCCUAGAGGUCUUAGUUCCAGAGGGAGGAAUGCUGCCACCAAGAGACACAACAAUGAUUCCAUUAAACUGGAAGUUAAGAUUGCCACCUGGCCACUUUGGGCUCUUCUUACUUUUAAGCCAACUUGCUAAGAAGGGAGUUACAGUGUUUGACCCAGACUAUCAAGAUGAAAUCAGUCUACUACUCCACAAUGGCGGUAAGGAAGUAUGCGUGGAAUACAGGAGAUCACGUAGGGCGUCUCUUAAUAUUACCAUGCCCUGUGAUUAAGGUCAAUGGGAAACUGCAACAGCCCAAUCCAGGCAGGAUGACAAAUGGCCCAGACCCUUCAGGAAUGAAGGUUUGGGUCACUCCACCAGGUAAAAAAAACAUAAUCUGCUGAGGUGCUUGCUGAAGGCAAACGGAAUUCAGAAUGGGUAGUCAAAGAAGGUAGUCAUCAAUACGAACUAUGACCAUGUGACCAGCUGCAGAAAAUGAGGACUGUAAUUGUCAUGAGUAUUUCCUCCUCCUUUUGUUAGGAACAUGUUUGUGCAUAUAUACACUUGUAUUAAGAAAAUAUCUUCAUUUUAUUUCCUUUCUUUUGCCUUUAUCAUGUGACAUAAGACUUACUGACUUGAUAUCAGCACUUAAGUGUUGUUAACUCUAUGUAAUAGCAUUUGGGUUGGGGAUUGGUGCGUUUCCGGUUGUACAAAGGAUAGCUGUAUUAUGUUAAGCGUAAUUAUGACCUUAUUAUUGUCUUUAUUUGAAGAUCAUGUAUGAUUUCAGGAGACGUGUAUGGGUUCAAGUUGACAAGGGGUGGACUGGUGAUGGUUAAUAUUGUCAACUAGAUUGGAUUGAAAGAUGCAAAGUAUUGUUCCUGGGUGUGUCUGUGAGGGUAUUGCCAAAGGCGAUUAACAUUUGAGUCAAUGGACUAGGAAAGGCAGACCCACCUCAAUCUGGAUGGGCACAAUGUAAUCAACUGUCAGCUAGGCCAGAAUAAAAGCAGACAGAAGAACGUGGAAAGACCAGACUGGUUUAGCCUCUGAGCCUACGUCUUUCUCCCAUGCUGGACGCUUCCUGCCCUCGAAUAUUGAACUCCAAGGUCUUCAACUUUGGGAUUCGGACUGGCUUCCUUGCCCCUCAGCUUGCAGGCAGCCUACUGUGGGACCUCAUCUGGUGAUCAUCUGAGUCAAUAUUCCGUAAUAACUCUGAUUUAUAUAUACAUCUAUCCUAUUAGUUCUAUCCCGCUAGAGAACUCUGAUUAAUAGAGCAGUUGAGUUGCAUCUUCAGACAUGAACCAAGUGUCUGGCUUUGGUCUCAAAGAGACUGAAUUAGACUCUUAGCUCUGCCAAUUACUUGGCAGGAACCACUAGGCAAAUUACUGAUAAUCUUUGUGCCUUAGUCUUACUCUUCUGCUAAAUGAAGCUAAUAAUAUUUAUUAUUAUUAGCUCAUGGAGAUGCAGAAUAAAGUGAGAUAACAUUUAAAUGCCUGAAAAAUGCCUGGCACAUGAUAGGCAGUAAACAGUAGUGUCAUUUCAAAACAACAUUCUCGCCAGGUGCGGUGGUUCACGCCUGUAAUCCCAGCACUUUGGGAGGCCGAGGCAGGCAGAUCACAAGGUCAGGAGAUCGAGACCAUCCUGGCCAACAUGGUGAAAUCCCCAUCCCUAAUAAAUAACAAAAAUUAGCUGGACAUGGUGGCACGUGCCUGUAAUCCCAGCUACUCGAGAGCCUGAGGCAGGAGAAUCGCUUGAACAGGAAGUCAGAGGUUGCGGUAAGCUGAGAUGGCGCCACUGUACUCACAGAGGUUGCAGUGAGCCGAUCGCGCCAGCCUGGUGACAGAGCGAGACUCUGUUUCAAAAAAAAAAAAAGCAUUCUUGGCUGGGUGAGGUGGCUCACACCUUGUAAUCCCAGCACUUUGGGAGGCCGAGGUAGGCGAAUCACCUGAGGUUGGGAGUUCGAGACCAGCCUGGACAACGUGGUGAAACCCCCCUCUCUACUAAAAAUACAAAAAAUUAGCCAGGUGUGAUGGCGUAUGCCUGUAAUCACAGCUACUUGGGAGGCUGAGGCAGAAGAAUCGCUUGAACCCAGGAGGCGGAGGUUGCAGUGAGCCAAGAUGGGACCACUGCACUCUAGCCUGGGCAACAAAGAGAGACUCCGUCUCAAAAAAAAAAACAAAACCAAAAAAACAAAAGUGAAACCAAAACAGCAUUCUCAAUGUAUGACCCCCAAAACCCAGGGAGGAUUUAUUAUUAAAUUCUGAUAUCUCAAGAGACACAUGCCAAAUUUUUGUCUUAUGAAGACAUUACAUCUUUUGUUGCUAUUUUUCUAGCAGCUUCCAGUUAAAUUUCAUUUGACUCAGAAUUCAUUUCUCAUGGGGUGCUGUCCUGUGCAUGUUACUAAAGUAUGUGAACACAGAACAUAUCCCCUAAGACAAAAACCCUGAUUUCUAACAGAGUCUAGCAUUUAGCAAAUGAAGUACGACAAAGAUAGGGACUUCUAGAAAGCAGUGCUUGGGGGUGGUUUGUUUUUCUUCUCACACGUAAAGAGGGAAAAAAAAGUUAAGGCAGAGAAAUGUGGGUAAUGGGAGACAUUGCUAGUUGAGCAUGAAAAUAAAAAGGGAUUCUAAAUAUUUAAUCAGGGAAGAUUCUGGGGUUUAAAGUAAAUUCUGAAAAGACAAUGUGGGUGUCUUGAGGGAUAGUACUAGAGAUUUGGAAUUGAGAGAAAAAGCUAGGUAAAGAAAGAAGAGAGAAGUGCUUUUGUUUGGGCAGCAGAAGAGAGGGGAGAUAAAAGUAGAACACAUGGACACAGGAAGGGGAACAUCACGCACUGGGGCCUGUUGAGGGGUGGGGGGAGGGGAGAGGGAUAGCAUUAGGAGAUAUACCUAAUGCUAAAUGACGAGUUAAUGGGUGCAGUACACCAAUAUGGCACAUGUAUACAUAUGUAACAAACCUGCACGUUGUGCACCACAUGUACCCUAAAACUUAAAGUAUAAUAAUAAUAAAAUUUAAAAAAAAAAGAAAAAAAAAGAUUUUGAAAAGCAAUUGUUGAGGAGAACAAUGAGAAGUGGGAAAAGGCAAAUGAUUAGUUUUCAAGGCAUGGAUCGAAAGUUCUUUUGUUUUGUUUGUUUGUUUGUUUGUUCUUUGAAAUGGAAUCUCGCUCUGUUUCCCAGGCUGGAGUGCAAUGCCAUGAUCGAGAAUCACUGCAACCUCCGGCUCCCGGGUUCAAGUGAUUCUCCCACCUCAGCUUCCUGAGUAGCUGGGAUUACAGGCAUGUGCCACCAUGCCUGGCUAAUUUUUGUAUUUUUCGUAGAGACGGGAUUUCACCAUGUUGGUCAUGCCGGUCUCGAACUCCUGAUCUCAAGUGAUCCACCCACCCUGGCCUCCCAAGGUGCUGGGAUUACAGGCGUGAGUCACUGGGCCCAGCUCGGAUUCAAAGUUUGGAAGCAGGCCGGACACCUGUAAUCCCAGCACUUUGGGAGGCUGAGGCGGGCAGAUGACCCUGAGGUCAGGGGUUCAAGACCAUCCUGGCUAACAUGACAAAACUCCUUCUCUACUAAACAUACAAAAAUUAGCUGGGCAUGGCAGCGGGCGCCUGUAAUCUCAGCUACUUGGGAGGCUGAGGCGGGAGAAUUGCUUGAACCCGGAAGGCGCAGGCUGCAGUGAGCCGAGAUUGCGCCACUUCACUCCAGCCUGGGCAACAAGAACGAAACUAUGUCUCAAGAAAAAGAAAGAAAGAGAGAGAGAGAAAGAAAGAAAGAAAGAAAGUUUGGAAGCAAAAAGAAAAUGAUCAAGGAUCUAGCUGGAGAGGAGAAAAAGAACAUAUGAUGACGGUAUUGUUUGGAGGUGGGGUGGAGAUGGCAGGAGUGCUUGGUGAAAGAUUAAAACUGAGAAAAGAGCUGGGCGCCGUGGCUCACGCCUGUAAUCCCGACAUUUUGGGAGACCGAGGCAGGUGGAUCACCUGAGGUUAGGAGUUCGAGACCAGCCUGACCAACAUGGUGAAACCCUGUCUCUGCUAAAAAUAGAAAAAUUAGCUGGGUGUGGCAGUGGAAACCUGUAAUCCCAGCUACUCGGGAGGCUGAGGCAGGAGAACCGCUUGAACCCGGGAGAUGGAGGUUGCAGUGAGCUGAGAUCGCACCACUGCAAUCCAGUCUGGGAGACAGAGUAAGACUCCAUCUAAAAAAAAAAAAAAAAAAAAAAAAAGUGAGAGAAGAGAGUGUAGUCAAGCACAGAUGCUUUAAAUGUUGUGUCCUGACUCUUUCUGUAUUUUAGAGGCAAAAUGGAGAGCAGCCUAAAGGAAAGGAGGGGUUCUUUUCCCUAAGUUCAGCUUGAGAUGGUUAUACAAUAUCCAAAUAAAAACAACUUUCAGGUAACUGGGAGAAACUGCCUCAAGGGAGAUAGUAGAGGCGAAGAUACAGAUCUCGGAGAUAGAUUGCAUGGAAAAAGGCGAGGAUAAGCCCACUCAGGGAGAAAAUUUGCAAAUGGAAGACUGGAACUGAAUUUUUAAAGAAGAGUGGAAGAUUAGGGGACACACAAUAGUUAAUUGAAAAACUAAUGCAUAGGCCGGGCGUGGUGGCUCACGCCUGUGUUCUCAGCACUUUGGGAGGCGGAGAUGGGCAGAUCACUUGAGGUCAGAAGUUUGAGGUCAGCCUGACCAACAUGGUGAAAACCCCAUCUCUACUAAAAAUACAAAAAUUACCUGGGCGUGGUGACACACGCCUGUAAUCCAAGCUACUUGGGAGGCUGAGGCAGGAGAAUCACUUGAACCCAG